UUUUUUUUUUUUUUUUUUUUUAAUAGCUCUGUGGCUAAGUCAUCCGAAUCCAGAGUUAACUGUUUCUUUUUCUUGUGUGUUAAGAGAUACCUUCGCUAUGACUUCUCAUUUCAUUUGACCUUCUGAUUUUACAUUUAUGGAAGAACCAUUUUAUGCAAGAACUCAAUAAUUUCUGUUGAGGCAGUGGGAACAUUGUGGUCCUACCCUAUGGAACCCUGCCUUCAUAUCUUUAUUGUCAAUGUUUCUUGAUGAAGGCUAGUGAACUUUUAAUAUUUUGAUUUAAUUUAUGUCAUAAUUUUGAUAAUUUGGCUUUUGCUUCAUGUCUCUUAACAUUGAAGUUAAACUAAAUUUUGGUUAAAACCAACUACUUGAAAAUGUGGGGGGAAAAAUUGAGCAUUUCAUAUCAGAAUUAAAUUCUUUAUCAAAAUAUUUGCACUUACCAAAGACAUUUUUCUAACUCUUAAAAUUUAUAAAUUUGUAAUGUUCCUUUAAGCAUUGUUUUGGUGAGUAUAGAGAAAGGUCCUUCUUACCCAUGUAGGAUUACUGAUUUCAAUUUUAUCUGUGGGGCAUCCUUUUCAGAAUGGACUGAUGUUAACUACUCUCUUUUUGAGCUAUAAUAUUCCAUAAGAACCAGAUACCUCAUCAUGUUAAGUCAAGGGAUAAGUAGAAGUUAAGCCUAUUCAUCAAAUGGUUACAUGACAGAAUUUAGUAUAAAAAUCCAGGCACCAGAUAUAGGUAUUUACUUCACAUUCUAAUUCUUGAGAAUUGUAGAUCUUUUCCAUCAAUAUAAAGACUGAUAGACCAAUUAAGAUAGAAGGCUCUUUGAAUGUCAAAGUAGCAUAUGUACCCAUUAACUUUUCUAAGUGAUUUUUAAAGGCUGUAAUUGCAUUAAAAUAUGAGGCUUAAUUAAGCAAAAGGAAUGUAUUUCCUUAUAACCAUCUUUGUGACACGAUUGCCUGAAAAAUUUAAAGAUCUGUGAUGAACAUUUAAUUUAUUUUUUCAAAUAGCUAUACAUUUUUAAACUACUUGAAAGUUAACAUGUUUUUUUUCUUUUCAAGUUCCUUUUUAACAUAAGAGCAUUUUUCAUUGUUCAGAUAUUAAAACGAUACUGCAGUACGUAAAGUGGAAAGUCUUAAUAUCGUUCUAUGUGUCACAUCCACUGUGAGUGGAGGGUUUUCCGAAAACUAAAGCUGAGACACCAAUAUUCUCGAGACCACAUCACCGUUUACCGUAAAAGUCAGAUGGCAUAUUGCAGUCUAAUUUAUUCUUUCAAAUUAAUGGUUUAUCUUGAAAAUUAUUUUAUGGCAGCACAGAUUGUUUUCAGAAUGGUAGGUUAUCCCUGCAAAGAUGUUAAUACUAUGCAUGCAGCUUGAUGUCCCCCUUGCCUUACUUCUGCAUUGCUAACUGUCUCCCACGUCACGUCACGUGAAGUGAAUGAGUGCCCUCAGUUCUCUGUCUAUCAUGUAUCAUCAUGUGACUCUGUAGCUGCUUCUCUAAGGUGGACCGUACUCACUGUUUUAUUGUUGCUGUAGAGUGUAUACAAUGGGAAUCUCAAUUGACUGUUGACAUAAUAGAUCAAGCUAAGCUCCCAUGGGUUGGCUCCUUCCAGAAUCUUCAUCAGUACUAAACAUUACUCCUAUUGUUAUAACAAUGUGACUAUAUUGUGGAUACUUUGCUUUUUUUGCUUUUUUUUUUUGUGGUCACUCAAUCUAACAUAUCUUUUUAGGAAUUGUCAGUUAACCUAUAUUUUCUUAAAGAAGUAACUGGGAUAAAAUUAGCAGAAGCAGAAUAGAAAAUAUUCUAUUAUGAGAUGGUUUAAUGAAAAUGUUUUGCUGACAUUAGUUGAAAGAUAUUCUUGGAGAUAACCCAGGACAUUCAAACAAAAGAAAAUCAAUGAGAUUUUGGCUUAUGAUUUUGGAAAAAUAAAGGAAAAUAUCAGUGUUUACUUUGAGCAAAAAUAAUUAUUGCUACUAUACUCCUAAAUAAAAAUAAGGAGUUGGGUUUUAACUUUUUAUUCAGUAUCUCUUGUCCCUCCUUUAGUUCUCAUCUUCCAAAAUGCUCAGAGGAAUUAAAAUAAUGUAUUCUAUAAAUGUACUCAAAUCUCUAGUCACCAUGAAUUAUCUCCAAUGAUUUAUAGUCUCAAUGUCUAAAGUGGCUCUAAUAACUUCAGAGUUGGAGCAGAAUGCAGGCCAGGUAACUCUUCAGUCUGCAUUUGGAGAAAGGUGGAAAAGAAAAUUUAAUUUGCUGACAGAGUAAUUGAAGACUCCUUGCACUGAAUUUUGUGAUCUUUUCUGUGAACACCUCUCUCUUUCUCUGCUCCCUAGACAAAUAGAGUCAUCUACUCACACAUAGUCCGUUCCAUCUCUAUCCUUCCACCCUUGAAAAGAUGACUCUUUCUCUACCUGGCUCUCUUUAUAAAAAUCCUAAACCUAAUCUCACUUCUUACAUGUGAUCUCUGUAUGUCCACAAUGAGCUUCCUCUUGUAUCUCUUUUUUCACAUUGCUGCUUGUGAAAUGUGUAUGAUUCUUCUCUGGGUCCCACACGUUAUCUUAGACAACCAACAUUCCAUGAACAUGGUUGAAAUAGGAAAGGAAUGAUGAUGUCAACAGCCAGCUGAAGCCUGCACUUUUGACUCCGUUCCUGGGAGAACAUGCUGCUCGCCUUGUAAUUGGAUGUUCCUUGUUUUGUUGAAGACAACAAAAGCUAAUGCCUGCCAUUCAUGUGAGCCUGUAACUGCAUAUUUAAUUCACAGAAUGUUGAGUGAUAGUCAACACCAAAUUAGAGCUUCUAGAUGCUAUUUGAAAUUUAUCUGAUAAAACAAUAGUGGCUCCCUCUUGUCCUUCUAGUUUGCAGAAGACCUAGCUUGCUCAACUUUUUAAAAGUAGUUUAGUUUUCUUCAAAGAAAAUUACUUUAAUGUUUACAAUAAUUCAUCAAUAGUUGCAAUCGAACAUUGUAUUCAGAACAUUAAGGAUAAACAACACAGACACAGGCUCUUAAGGAUUUUUAAUUUCUGUGCUGUGUUCAUUAAGCAUAGAGCUAAGUUCCAUGAUCUGUGCUCCCAUAAGUAGAAUUUGGCAAUGUGUUUAUAGCACAUUUGAGGUGUUGUUCAUUUGAGUGAAAAAUAAUACUUUUUGAGGUUGCAAAAUAAAAUUCCAUUGACCAGUGUUUGUAAGACUCUCUUUAAAAACAAACAAACAAACAAAAAAAACCCCAAAAAACAACACUGUUCAUUUGAGGAAGAAGAGGUGCACGAGACAGGUACCCCCUAAUAAGCACAGUUCAUCGUUUAUUCCCUCUCUUAUUUUGAAAACACUGGAUAAGUCACCUUGGAGAAAUGGGAGCAAUUUAUUAAUUUGUCACUUGCCCGGGAUGAAAUUGUUUGGAAGAAUAAAGCAAAGUGUACUGGACAUGCUUGCCUUUCUUUAAAGCCACAGUACUGUCCUGUAGGUUGGUCCUGGAGGAGCAGGUGUGAGAUUGCAAUGUGUCUUUACAAGGGUCUCAGUGGGGCUUCCCACCCUUGCCUCUGCAGGAGACAGCUCAUCUGUUUAAUCCUUAUGUUUUAGUCAACCUUUCUUAUUAUGCAGACAGGGCUCUGAGGCUCUGCUGGAUUUUGACUCUGGGAAUGAAUUGAUGGGGCUCUUUGAUCUUAGCUGUGUAUUGCAUCCGUUUUAUCUUUCUUCUUAAUGCAGCCUUCCAAACCCCAAUUCUAGCUGGCAUUCCUCAAACAUAUCCAUAAUUACACAAACAAACAAACAAAACCUUGCCUCUGACAACUCAGAUUAAAAACCUCAUUCUUUGCCCUUUGUGGCAUAGUGAGCUUUCUUAGGAAAGAGGGGAAAAAGUAAUCUAAUUCACUACUCUGGACAAGACUAGAAGAUCUGAGAGGAUUUAGGUACCAACUGGCAUGUAUGUAUCUCAAGCAGUAGGGGGUCACAUGUAAGGAAAAUGGCAAGCAUCAGACUUGCAAUUACGUAAGUUGGUAUAACAUCAUUAAAGCUUAUUAACAAACCACAUUAUAGGUUCCUACAUAAAACAGAACCUACUUAGAAAUUCUACC
rnacentral:lncRNA from 1 species